CGUCGCCCGGGUGACGGUGUGGAAUAUUGCCACUUUGCCAUUUUACAGGUUGUUUGCAGCAUCAUUAGACCGACUACUGCCGCGGCACAUCACAAAGAGAUCUAUGGACACUCAAUAUAUGAACCAACACUGAUAAGAUCAAAGAUAGCAAGACUGUCCUCAGAUACAUGGACAAUAUCAACACGACUGGGAAGAGAAUUUUGUGGAACUAUCCCGCAGUGGACGUGUCUGCUGAAGAACGUCUUCUGACAUAUAAUCAGAAGUGAGCAAAAUAAUAAAAGCCAUCAACCAGAUGAAAAGCAAAAAAGCUUCAAGUCCAACAAUAUUUAUGGGUAAGUAUUGAAACAUGGGGGAGAGACAACUCUUAGAUCAACACACUAUUUAUGAAAGUCUCACAGAAGGAAAAUGUUUCAACUCAGUUUAGUGAGAUAUUAUUACACACGUUUGGAGGUUGUGGGACUUGGAACUGGAUUUACCCGGACUAGAGGUAGGAACACUACAACUGCACCACAAGAGCUCCGUCUGGACCACUUACGUACAUAGUGUGACUACACCAAAGUCUGCCCUCCAUCUACAAAGCACAAGUCAGGAAUAUGAUGAAUUAAUCCUGAUUUGCCUAGAUGAAUGUGGAUCUGACAGCACUCAGAAUAUCAACACCAUUUGGACAAAACAAACCACUUGAUUAGCACUCCAUUCACACCCUAAUCAUUCACUCCCUCCACAAGCCACAAUGGCAGCAAUGUGUACCAUAUACAAGAUGAGUUGCAGCAACCCCUUUAAUUGUAAUAUCCAAACCUGUAACAACUAGCAGGUAGAUGCACACAAGUAGCAUUUGUUUGCGAAUAUCACCACCUGCACGUUUCUCAAUCCACAGAUCAUCCUGACUUAAAACUAUAUCAUUGUUCUUUUACUGUUGCUGGGCCAGAAAGAUAGAGUUCCCUUCCCUACACCGUUGGUGUACAUAGCACAUGGGCUGCAGCAGAUCAAGAAAACAACUUAACAUCACCUUGUCACUUUCUGUAUGUAUUUGAAACAAAUGUUGACCUU